GCCGAAGGCGUCACGGGCAGUAUUUCAGUGACGGUGACUACAUGGCUUUUCUACCUAAUCUCGGGAGUCCUGCAGUGCCAUUUCUGCCAUCUCUACUGGUUCCAUGUGAGCCACACAAAUGUAAGAGGCAGGGACAUAGGCCCCACUUCUUGGUGGGAAGAGCAUCAAGGUCAGAUGUUAGGAGAGCAGGUAGGAUGAGAGAUGCUGCCGCAGCCAUCUCUGGAAGACAGACUUUUUCCCGGCCGCCCCCAUGAGGACAGAUUUCUCCAGUCCCUCCCUCUUUGAUGUGAUUAGCCCCCGGUUCCCAAGCAGAGUCGGAUUUGCCAAGGUCACCUGAGCGCCAGCAGACACAGAAAGCAAACGUGUCCUUGUGGCCUCCACAGGGCAGCCGGCUCUCAGACAGCAGACACUUUUCUCACUGUGGAGAGAGGGUGCAGAUGCUAAACCCCCCAAGACCUCCACAGUCCACCCCUUUGAACACUCACUACCCAAUGUACCCUUUCUUCUAUGCUUCCAUUCUGUUAUCUAAACUCCCUGCACAG